rnacentral:rRNA from 1 species
UACGUAGGUCCCGAGCGUUGUCCGGAUUUAUUGGGCGUAAAGCGAGCUCAGGUGGUUUAUUAAGUCUGGUGUAAAAGGCAGUGGCUCAACCAUUGUAUGCAUUGGAAACUGGUAGACUUGAGUGCAGGAGAGGAGAGUGGAAUUCCAUGUGUAGCGGUGAAAUGCGUAGAUAUAUGGAGGAACACCGGUGGCGAAAGCGGCUCUCUGGCCUGUAACUGACACUGAGGCUCGAAAGCGUGGGGAGCAAACAGG